rnacentral:lncRNA from 1 species
UCCAGUCUGCAGCAUCAUUCAAUCGUUUUUCUUCUCUUCUCCCCCUCCUAGUCCUAGCGAACACACUUCUCACUUCUUAGCAACUCACGUCUCGCCGUCUCCCUCCUCCUUAGUCCUACUCUAGCCUCGACCCACACUCCACGCUAGACUACAAACUAGUAAUUAAUAAUUGCAAACCUAGUACAUUGUAUUAUUAUUUAUUAAAUGUCCUCCAUUUCUCCAGUACCUCAAGCAGAGACAGCCUAGCUCACAUCUUCUAUAAUAAUUCCUAAAGAAAUUUUAUUUUAAGUGAUAUAAGAAUGGUCAAAAAUUAUUGAAGCCAUCGUGACUCAUUAAAGAGAUUCAGUCAAAUCCUGAUAUAAAAAAAUACGCUUAUAGUUCUUUUUAAUACAUAAAAUACUUUGCAUAGAAGAAAGAAGAGGUAAAAAGUCUUCAAUUCAUAUGUUCUUCGCUUUUUUUGUAUCAACUUCAUAGAAAUUCAUGAGAUGGAAUAAAUCUAUUUUAUAGCUUUUUAAUCAAACCGGUCACAUAUGAGUGUCCUCCGACAAACACUUUCCCUGAAAGAUAAGCUACAAAUCAUCAAUGAUCUGUCAAAAUCAGGUUCUAAUCAAACACGGGUUGCCUCGAAAUAUAAAUUUUCAAAAUUACUUAUUUACAUAAGUAUCCUAAAAUUAUGGGUUUUUUUACAUACUUCGGAUAAUAAAAAAUCCGGACAUAGUCUACUUUUCAUCUAAAAAAUACCAGUUACCUUUAUCCGGAUUUGACUAUAUUUAGUCCGGGAUCUAAUAACAUAUGUAGUUGAUAAAAUCAUGGAACUUUGGAUAACUGGAAUAGAGACAUCAUUUUUCCUUCUCCAAAACGAGUCAUUUUUUUAAAUUAUACAUAUACAGUGUGCGAAACCAAAAUUUGAGCAAGCAUAAAAGGUCCUGACUUUACUCCGCGCGGAAAUAAAGCCCAGGAACAUUGCCAAUGUAGCCCAUAUCAUCACCAGAUCUUAAUCCAUUGGAUUACAGCAUAUGGAAUAUUCUUGAGGGGGAAGCUUGUGCACCUCCCCCACACCAGGGAUGUAUAUGAACUGAAGGUUUUCAUCAUUGCAGCCUUGGACAAAAUGCACAAGGGCUUGAAUUAAGUCUGUAGGACCCGGUUGGAGGCUGUUGUGGCAAGUAAUGAGAAUCAUAUUGAAUAAACGAUAACUUAAU